rnacentral:rRNA from 1 species
GUGGGGAAUAUUGGACAAUGGGCGAAAGCCUGAUCCAGCCAUGCCGCGUGUGUGAAGAAGGUCUUCGGAUUGUAAAGCACUUUAAGUUGGGAGGAAGGGCAGUAAGUUAAUACCUUGCUGUUUUGACGUUACCGACAGAAUAAGCACCGGCUAACUUCGUGUCAGCAGCCGCGGUAAUACGAAGGGUGCAAGCGUUAAUCGGAAUUACUGGGCGUAAAGCGCGCGUAGGUGGUUCGUUAAGUUGGAGGUGAAAGCCCCGGGCUCAACCGGGGAACUGCAUCCAAAACUGGCGAGCUAGAGUACGGUAGAGGGUGGUGGAAUUUCCUGUGUAGCGGUGAAAUGCGUAGAUAUAGGAAGGAACACCAGUGGCGAAGGCGACCACCUGGACUGAUACUGACACUGAGGUGCGAAAGCGUGGGGAGCAAACAGGAUUAGAUACCCUAGUAGUCC